rnacentral:rRNA from 1 species
GAGUGAACGCUGGCGGUAGGCCUAACACAUGCAAGUCGAACGGCAGCACAGUAAGAGCUUGCUCUUACGGGUGGCGAGUGGCGGACGGGUGAGGAAUACAUCGGAAUCUACUUUUUCGUGGGGGAUAACGUAGGGAAACUUACGCUAAUACCGCAUACGACCUACGGGUGAAAGCAGGGGAUCUUCGGACCUUGCGCGAUUGAAUGAGCCGAUGUCGGAUUAGCUAGUUGGCGGGGUAAAGGCCCACCAAGGCGACGAUCCGUAGCUGGUCUGAGAGGAUGAUCAGCCACACUGGAACUGAGACACGAUCCAGACUCCUACGGGAGGCAGCAGUGGGGAAUAUUGGACAAUGGGCGCAAGCCUGAUCCAGCCAUACCGCGUGGGUGAAGAAGGCCUUCGGGUUGUAAAGCCCUUUUGUUGGGAAAGAAAAGCAGCAGGUUAAUACCCCGCUGUUCUGACGGUACCCAAAGAAUAAGCACCGGCUAACUUCGUG